UACAGAGGGUGCAAGCGUUGUUCGGAAUUAUUGGGCGUAAAGCGCGCGUAGGCGGCUUUGCAAGUCGGGUGUGAAAUCCCCAGGCUCAACCUGGGAACUGCAUUCGAGACUGCAUUGCUAGAGUAUGGGAGAGGGAAGUGGAAUUUCAGGUGUAGCGGUGAAAUGCGUAGAUAUCUGAAGGAACAUCAGUGGCGAAAGCGACUUCCUGGACCAAUACUGACGCUCAUGUGCGAAAGCGUGGGGAGCAAACAGG
rnacentral:rRNA from 1 species